ensembl:lncRNA
CUGAACGAUGUUUGUGAGAUGUCAAAAGGCAGUGCUGAACUUUCACAGACAGAACAUCAAGGUUUCAAAGGCUUGUGCGUCAACAUACUCUGUUCUCAGAAAGUAAACUGGGCGCUGGCAUUCCAAAAGAGUCUGUGCAAUCCCCGGAUCAAAUAUCUGACAGGAAUCAAUUUAAGAGAGGACGGCAACACAGUCCACCACGUCGGGGAAGGCACGGUGGCAGGAGCAUGAGAUGGGAAAAUAGCACAGUAUCCACACAUGUAAAGUGAUUGGGGAACAGGAAAUCGAUGGAGAAAUCAUCAUUCAGUGUGUCUGAAAACAAUUGGACAGAGUAGAGAACCAUUCGGUUGUUUAGAGCGGCAUCCACAAUCAGCGGUGAACAGUCCAGAGGCUCGCGGGCUGCACGCGGCAAGAUGCUCUUGGCAAAAGUCUCCGAAACUCUGGCGUUUGGACUUGAAACCAUGGAAGACUUGGGCGAGCAGGUGCUUUAUAUAGCUUGGGAUGGCUCUGUUGCCAAGCGUCUCUUUCACAUCGGUCCCUUCGUUUCCAUUCUCAGCGCUACCAUCGGAUUUCAGAGCCAUCUGCCUUCUCCCACAGUCCUUGCGAUCAUCUUCUUAAUUACCCUCUCUUCCUUGGAGCAUCCCCUUUUCUGACUUCUUUGCACAGAGCUCCGCACUAAUCUUCAUGUAGUUCUAACUGUUCUUCGGACCCCCUGAAAUGAAAUCUGAUCACCUCGGCUAAGCAAACAAAACCCUCCGUGAAUUCCCGCUUUAGUCCCUGCCUGGCCUAAGUAAUUUAUGUCCUCUGAGGUAAAUCCUUACAACACCCUGUGGAGAUUGCAUCAGUAGGAACCAUAGGUGGCAACAGCAGGGGUGGCCUCUAAAGCCACACACUACUCUGUGAGGGUGUUCUCUGGAGCUGCAGUGACCACAGAGGACGAGGUACUCUGUUGAAACAGGGUCUUAUGUGGUGGCCCAGGCUUGCCUCAACCUCACUAUGUAGACCAUAUAGCCAAAGACAGCCUUAAACGUCUUAUUCCCCUGCCUCUACCUCCCAAAUGUUAGGGUUUCAAGGCAUGCUCCACCAUGUCCAGUUCUUUGUGGUGCUGGGGAUUGAACCCAGGGCUUCGCAAUGCCAGGCAAGCACGCUUCCCAUUGCCUUGCAUCCACACCCAGCGGCACCCUCUCCCUGUUCCACCAAGAGUGCUAAUAAACUCUGAUUAAAAGCACUUGGUGUUACAGGGCCUCAGAGCUGGACUUUCACUACUCAAGACACUCGUGACCUUGAAGCUUUGGUGUAUCAAAGCUACCCUGCCCUUCAGAGCCCUCCCACUGUCACAGACUUGUAAGCCCGUGGGCAGAAUGUCACAUUCUUGGAGCUAUACUCUGAUCUCAGGCCACCCAGACGGUCCCUCUGACUAGCUGUCUCUCCAGAUGCUUCCAGGCUUCAGUGAAGACAACUCUCCCAUUUUGAACUCUGGUCCACCUUAUUCCCAGCUCCCGCCUCCAGGUUCCUGCCCUGGUUGAGUUCCUCCUAACUUCCUUCAAUGAUGAACAGUGAUGUGGACAUGUAAGCCGAGUAAGCUCUUUCCUUACCUAUGUUGCUUUUGAUCAUGGUGUUUCAUCAGAGCCAUAGAAACCUGUAAUCCCAGCACUUGGGGAAAAGGGUGGUUGGAUCAUAAAUUCAAGGUUGCCUUUGGCUAUAUAUCAAGUUUGAGGCCAGCUUGGGAUACAUGAGAUCCUGUCUCCAAAACAGCCAAAUGCAGCUUCCUUCCUAGGGCAUGUGAACACUGUGAAGGGUGUCUCCUCAUUUGUUGGGUUUUUGUGAUAGUCUCACGAAGGACUUUGGAUUGUUUUGCCCUUGUUCCACCGACUGGCUUUUGAAAAAACACAUUGCAUACAGACAUCGUUGCAAUAACUGAACUGAUAUGGAUUUAUGAAAGUAAAAUCAGAAGUCUACAAGAGUGGGGGACUUCCAAAGAAGCUCUUGUUUCCUCCUAAAAGAAACAGAUCACAGCUGGGUCCCCUCUUCUCAGGUCCUGCCUCAACCAUAGGUGUGAUAACUUGGAGACAUGAAAACCAGAAGUGAAAGGUCCAGUAUGUUAAUGAUGUCAGAACAGACAGAGCCAAUGUCCUUGAAGUUACUUCAGAGGAGGAGCUACCUGCAACCCUAAUUAUCUCCAGAUGACGAGGUAGCCAGCCAGCUUCUUCUGUCCUCUCCUGGAUUCACCGAACAAACAGUACAGAAACUUCGAGCAGCAUCCGCCUACCCCAGUGACGGAUUCCUCACACUGAUCAAAUCAACACACAGGUGAUCAGUAAUUUGCCUUUCAGACCUAAGUUACAAAGCCCCAUUUUACCAGAGACAGCUCAAAACAGCCCGGCAUCUCUGGCAGAAUAAAUGCUAUCUAUAAACCAAAAUCCAAUGUUUAAGCUCCAAACAGGAUUUCCAAAAUGAAAUUGUAGGUUAUAUUUUUAAAAAUCACGAUUCACUGAAAAGAGAGCAAAGGGGACAAGUUGAGGUUUAGAUUUGAUAAAAGGAAGAACAUUAAAAAAUAUAGAUCAUG